CCGACCUUAGCUCAGUUGGUAGAGCGGGAGACUGUAGUCGUAAGAUCAGCCAUCUCUAGGUCGCUGGUUCGAAUCCGGCAGGUCGGA
rnacentral:tRNA from 1 species